UGCUUUUGAGGAAAAAUUUUAAUUGAAAUUGCUAGAUUAAAAUAUUUUAAUCAGGGCCGGAGAGAUGGCUCAGCCAUUAAAGGCUAGGCUCACAACCAAAAAUAUA
rnacentral:miRNA from 1 species